AUUGAACGCUGGCGGCAUGCUUUACACAUGCAAGUCGAACGGUAACAGGCCUUCGGGUGCUGACGAGUGGCGAACGGGUGAGUAAUGCAUCGGAACGUACCCAGAGGUGGGGGAUAACGCAGCGAAAGCUGUGCUAAUACCGCAUGUGAUCUGAGGAUGAAAGCGGGGGACCGAGCAGCAAUGUUUGGCCUCGCGCCUUUGGAGCGGCCGAUGUCGGAUUAGCUAGUUGGUGGGUAAAGGCCUACCAAGGCGACGAUCCGUAGCUGGUCUGAGAGGACGACCAGCCACACUGGGACUGAGACACGGCCCAGACUCCUACGGGAGGCAGCAGUGGGGAAUUUUGGACAAUGGGCGCAAGCCUGAUCCAGCAAUGCCGCGUGCGGGAAGAAGGCCUUCGGGUUGUAAACCGCUUUUGGCAGGAACGAAACGGUGUCCGCUAAUACCGGGCGCUAAUGACGGUACCUGCAGAAUAAGCACCGGCUAACUACGUG
rnacentral:rRNA from 1 species